rfam:Operophtera brumata OBRT01_Sc11776, whole genome shotgun sequence.
GAAUCGUUAGCUCAGUAGGUUAGAGCACCGAUAUAAAAAUUUCCUUGACCAUCGGAGGGCGGAGGUUCAAAUCCUUCACGAGUCA